AGAGUUUGAUUAUGGCUCAGGAUUAACGCUGGCGGCAUGCCUAAUACAUGCAAGUCGAACGAGCAGCGAUGCUAGUGGCGAACGGGUGAGUAACACGUAGGGAACCUACCCUUUAGACGAGGAUAACUACUGGAAACGGUAGCUAAAACUGGAUAGUAUAUUAGAAGGCAUCUUCGGAUAUUUAAAGGUCCUGUAAAGGGAACACUAAAGGAUGGCCCUGCGGAACAUUAGCUAGUUGGUGGGGUAACGGCCCACCAAGGCGACGAUGUUUAGCUGUGCUGAGAGGCAAAACAGCCACACUGGGACUGAGACACGGCCCAGACUCCUACGGGAGGCAGCAGUAGGGAAUUUUCGGCAAUGGGGGAAACCCUGACCGAGCAAUGCCGCCGUGAAUGAAGAAAUUCUUCGGAAUGUAAAAUUCUGUUAUUAGGGACGAAAGGUAUAUAAAGGAAAUGGUAUAUAAUUGACGGUACCUAAUUAGAAAGCCCCGGCUAACCAUGUGCCAGCCGCUGC
rnacentral:rRNA from 1 species